rnacentral:rRNA from 1 species
GACGAACGCUUGCGGCGUGCUUAACACAUGCAAGUCGAACGGAAAGGCCCUGCUUUUGUGGGGUGCUCGAGUGGCGAACGGGUGAGUAACACGUGAGUAACCUGCCCUUGACUUUGGGAUAACUUCAGGAAACUGGGGCUAAUACCGGAUAGGAGCUCCUGCUGCAUGGUGGGGGUUGGAAAGUUUCGGCGGUUGGGGAUGGACUCGCGGCUUAUCAGCUUGUUGGUGGGGUAGUGGCUUACCAAGGCUUUGACGGGUAGCCGGCCUGAGAGGGUGACCGGCCACAUUGGGACUGAGAUACGGCCCAGACUCCUACGGGAGGCAGCAGUGGGGAAUAUUGCACAAUGGGCGGAAGCCUGAUGCAGCAACGCCGCGUGCGGGAUGACGGCCUUCGGGUUGUAAACCGCUUUCGCCUGUGACGAAGCGUGAGUGACGGUAAUGGGUAAAGAAGCACCGGCUAACUACGUGCCAGCAGCCGCGGUGAUACGUAGGGUGCGAGCGUUGUCCGGAUUUAUUGGGCGUAAAGGGCUCGUAGGUGGUUGAUCGCGUCGGAAGUGUAAUCUUGGGGCUUAACCCUGAGCGUGCUUUCGAUACGGGUUGACUUGAGGAAGGUAGGGGAGAAUGGAAUUCCUGGUGGAGCGGUGGAAUGCGCAGAUAUCAGGAGGAACACCAGUGGCGAAGGCGGUUCUCUGGGCCUUUCCUGACGCUGAGGAGCGAAAGCGUGGGGAGCGAACAGGCUUAGAUACCCUGGUAGUCCACGCUGUAAACGGUGGGUACUAGGUGUGGGGUCCAUUCCACGGGUUCCGUGCCGUAGCUAACGCUUUAAGUACCCCGCCUGGGGAGUACGGCCGCAAGGCUAAAACUCAAAGGAAUUGACGGGGCCCCGCACAAGCGGCGGAGCAUGCGGAUUAAUUCGAUGCAACGCGUAGAACCUUACCUGGGUUUGACAUGGAUCGGGAGUGCUCAGAGAUGGGUGUGCCUCUUUUGGGGUCGGUUCACAGGUGGUGCAUGGCUGUCGUCAGCUCGUGUCGUGAGAUGUUGGGUUAAGUCCCGCAACGAGCGCAACCCUUGUUCACUGUUGCCAGCACGUUAUGGUGGGGACUCAGUGGAGACCGCCGGGGUUAACUCGGAGGAAGGUGGGGAUGACGUCAAGUCAUCAUGCCCCUUAUGUCCAGGGCUUCACGCAUGCUACAAUGGCUGGUACAGAGAGUGGCGAGCCUGUGAGGGUGAGCGAAUCUCGGAAAGCCGGUCUCAGUUCGGAUUGGGGUCUGCAACUCGACCUCAUGAAGUCGGAGUCGCUAGUAAUCGCAGAUCAGCAACGCUGCGGUGAAUACGUUCCCGGG